UACGUAGGGUGCAAGCGUUAAUCGGAAUUACUGGGCGUAAAGCGUGCGUAGGCGGUUAUGGAAGACAGAUGUGAAAUCCCCGGGCUCAACCUGGGAACUGCAUUUGUGACUGCAUCGCUGGAGUACGGCAGAGGGGGAUGGAAUUCCGCGUGUAGCAGUGAAAUGCGUAGAUAUGCGGAGGAACACCGAUGGCGAAGGCAAUCCCCUGGGCCUGUACUGACGCUCAUGCACGAAAGCGUGGGGAGCAAACAGG
rnacentral:rRNA from 1 species